GAUGAACGCUGGCGGCGUGCCUAAUACAUGCAAGUCGAGCGAACGGACGAGAAUCUUGCUUCUCUGAUGUUAGCGGCGGACGUGUGAGUAACACGUGGAUAACCUACCUAUAAGACUGGGAUAACUUCGGGAAACCGGAGCUAAUACCGGAUAAUAUUUUGAACCGCAUGGUUCAAAAGUGAAAGACGGUCUUGCUGUCACUUAUAGAUGGAUCCGCGCUGCAUUAGCUAGUUGGUAAGGUAACGGCUUACCAAGGCAACGAUGCAUAGCCGACCUGAGAGGGUGAACGGCCACACUGGGAGUGAGACACGAUCCAGACUCCUAGGGGAGGCAGAAGUAGGGAAUCUUCCGAAAUGGGCGAAAGCCUGACGGAGCAACGCCGCGUGAGUGCUGAAGGUCUUCGGAUCGUAAAACUCUGUUAUUAGGGAAGAACAUAUGUGUAAGUAACUGUGCACAUCGUGACGGUACCUAAUCAGAAAGCCACGGCUAACUACGUG
rnacentral:rRNA from 1 species